AUUGAACGCUGGCGGCAUGCUUUACACAUGCAAGUCGAACGGCAGCGCGGGCUUCGGCCUGGCGGCGAGUUGCGAACGGGUGAGUAAUGCAUCGGAACGUGCCCAGUAGUUGGGGAUAGCCCGGCGAAAGCCGGAUUAAUACCGCAUACGACCUGAGGGUGAAAGCGGGGGACCGAAAGGCCUCGCGCUAUUGGAGCGGCCGAUGUCGGAUUAGCUAGUUGGUGGGGUAAAGGCUUACCAAGGCGACGAUCCGUAGCUGGUCUGAGAGGACGACCAGCCACACUGGGACUGAGACACGGCCCAGACUCCUACGGGAGGCAGCAGUGGGGAAUUUUGGACAAUGGGGGCAAGCCUGAUCCAGCCAUGCCGCGUGCGGGAAGAAGGCCUUCGGGUUGUAAAGCGCUUUUGUUCGGGAAGAAAUGCUCUGGGCUAAUACCCCGGGGGGAUGACGGUACCGGAAGAAUAAGCACCGGCUAACUACGUG
rnacentral:rRNA from 1 species